CCUGCCCCUAAAGGUGCUGCAGGUGUGACUGCUAUGUCAUGAAUGUGUCAGUAGGUGGCAGAGAGGAGAGACGCUGUGUCCUGUGUGUGGCAAGUGUUCUGACCUAUUUGAACAAUUAGUAGCCUAACAUU
ensembl:snoRNA Gm24295 small nucleolar RNA SNORA17